GAUGAACGCUGGCGGCGUGCCUAAUACAUGCAAGUCGAGCGAAUGGAUUAAGAGCUUGCUCUUAUGAAGUUAGCGGCGGACGGGUGAGUAACACGUGGGUAACCUGCCCAUAAGACUAGGAUAACUCCGGGAAACCGGGGCUAAUACCGGAUAACAUUUUGAACCGCAUGGUUCGAAAUUGAAAGGCGGCUUCGGCUGUCACUUAUGGAGGGACCCGCGGCGCAUUAGCUAGUUGGUGAGGUAACGGCUCACCAAGGCAACGAUGCGUAGCCGACCUGAGAGGGUGAUCGGCCACACUGGGACUGAGACACGGCCCAGACUCCUACGGGAGGCAGCAGUAGGGAAUCUUCCGCAAUGGACGAAAGUCUGACGGAGCAACGCCGCGUGAGUGAUGAAGGCUUUCGGGUCGUAAAACUCUGUUGUUAGGGAAGAACAAGUGCUAGUUGAAUAAGCUGGCACCUUGACGGUACCUAACCAGAAAGCCACGGCUAACUACGUGCCAGCCGCCGCGGUAA
rnacentral:rRNA from 1 species